UGGGGAAUAUUGCACAAUGGGGGAAACCCUGAUGCAGCGACGCCGCGUGAGCGAAGAAGGUUUUCGAAUCGUAAAGCUCUUUCCUAUGAGAAGAUAAUGACGGUACCAUAGGAGGAAGCCCCGGCCAAAUACGUGCCAGCAGCCGCGGUAAUACGUAUGGGGCGAGCGUUGUCCGGAAUUAUUGGGCGUAAAGGGUACGUAGGCGGUCUAUUAAGUCAGGUGUGAAAGCGGGAGGCUUAACCUCAUUAAGCACUUGAAACUGAUAGACUUGAGUGAUGGAGAGGAAAGUGGAAUUCCUAGUGUAGCGGUGAAAUGCGUAGAUAUUAGGAGGAAUACCGGUGGCGAAGGCGACUUUCUGGACUUUUACUGACGCUCAGGUACGAAAGCGUGGGGAGCAAACAGG
rnacentral:rRNA from 1 species